rnacentral:misc_RNA from 1 species
AUAUAUAUAUAUAUAUAUAUAGUAAGUGGAGCGUAUAGACACCAGCAUAACAAACAAAGAUGGUGGACCGUCUGGUGAACAGCGAGGCAAAUGCUCGGCGCAUUGCGAUGGUUGAGUCCUGCUUUGGGACUUCAGGACAAUCGCUUAAUGAGCCAGGACGUGUCUUGGUCGGAGAGGGCGUGCUUACGAAGAUGUGUCGAAAGAAACCUAAACCGCGACAGUUUUUCCUUUUUAACGACAUAUUGGUAUAUGGCAAUAUUGUGCUCAAUAAAAAGAAGUACAACAAGCAACACAUAAUUCCCUUGGAAGAGGUUCAGCUUUCUUCACUGGAAGAUGAUGGUCAAUUUCGAAAUGGAUGGUUGAUAAAGACUCCAACCAAAUCAUUUGCGGUUUACGCUGCCACAGCUACAGAGAAAGCCGAAUGGAUGGCACACAUAAAUAAAUGCGUCACUGACCUUCUACGCAAAAGUGGCAAAAAGGCAGCGGAGAAACAUGCAGCUGUAUGGGUGCCUGACAGUGAAACACAGGUGUGCAUGCACUGCAAGAAGACCCAGUUCACACUAAUAAACAGGAGGCACCACUGCCGUAAGUGUGGGAAAGUGGUGUGUGGUCCAUGCUCCAGUAAGAAAGUGAUACUAACUCACCAGUCAAACAAACCCCUCCGUGUGUGCCUUACCUGCCAUGAUGAAAUGUCUUCGGCGCAAUCACAGACUGGCAACUCGACACCUGUUAAUUCAAUGGCAGGUAGGAUGGAUGACAUUCUCUCAGAGCCACUUGAUGAUGAGAAGGACAAAGAGUCUGGUGGUGGUGGUGAUGAUGAUGAUGAUGAUGUGACCAUUGCCUUGAUGGACGAUCCAUAUGAAAACUUAGGCCCCUUGCCUCCACCACGACGCCCGAGUCGUGGUCGUACCUCGGAGGAGGCGGCUCUGGUGGAAAAGAGCAUUGAGGGAGACCUCGUUGAUUUGAACUGUGAUCUGUUUGGGGAACCUUCUGAGGAUCAGGACGAUGAUGCUCCUCCUCCUACCCUUUGGUGGGAUGACAUUGACCUGAAGGACUCAGUUUCUGGUGGCAAGCAUGAAGAAGACUUGAAGAAUCCUGUGUGUGACAUCAGUCAUGAAGACCCGAAGAAGUCAAUUGCUGGUGGCAAUAACGAAGACCUGAAGGCCCUAGAUUCUGACAGCAGUAAUGAAAGAGAUAUAAGGGCGCCUACCAACGACUCGUCUGCUGAGGAAGACUCUGACGAAGAUACUGAUGACCCAUCAAUCCAGUCUCCGCAGGCUGUCACUGAGGAAAAAUUGCCCUGGUUGUCUUUUUCUUUUCCUAUCUGUAAUUCUUGAUAAGGCCCAAAACAGAGAGAGCAUAAUCUGACCAAUAUUAUCACAGUCAAAGUUUCACAGUUGAGUAGGGUCAGUAAUGCUAGUGAACUUAUUGUUCUCAUGAUGAUGCUCCAGUGAAUGAAGAAGUCCAGCUAACAAGACGAUGACAUUCUACGAAGGGGGUGAAGCAAGCAACGGUGAGGCUCCAGCUGUUCUAGAUGCCUCUGCAGUUGACACUACAUCAACCCCUGACACACCUCUCAAUGAUACAAGUGAUGCCCAAUAGUCAUUGACUUG